rnacentral:rRNA from 1 species
UACGUAGGGGGCAAGCGUUGGUCCGGAAUCAUUGGGCGUAAAGAGCGUGUAGGCGGCCUGAUAAGUCGGCUGUGAAAGUCAAGGGCUCAACCCUUGAAUGCCGGCCGAUACUGUCAGGCUAGAGUCCGGAAGAGGCGAGUGGAAUUCCUGGUGUAGCGGUGAAAUGCGCAGAUAUCAGGAGGAACACCGAUGGCGAAGGCAGCUCGCUGGGACGGUACUGACGCUGAGACGCGAAAGCGUGGGGAGCGAACAGG